rnacentral:piRNA from 1 species
UGCUCGGUGUGCUGCACCCACUGUCCUGC